AUUGAACGCUGGCGGCAGGCCUAACACAUGCAAGUCGAGCGAGCGACGGACGGGUGAGUAAUGUAUGGGGACUGCCCGAUAGCGGUGGAUAACUACUGGGAACGGUAGCUAAUUCCGCAUACUAUCGGAUAACCCAUAGGGGAUUAGCUAGUAGGUGAGGUAAUGGCUCACCUAGGCGACGCUCCCUAGCUGGUCUGAGAGGAUGAUCAGCCACACUGGGACUGAGACACGGUCCAGACUCCUGCGGAGGCGGCAGUGGGGAAUAUUGCACAAUGGGCGCAAGCCUGAGGCAGCCACGCCGCGUGUAUGAAGAAGGCCCUAGGGUUGUAAAGUACUUUCAGUCGGGAGGCGUUGCCGACAGAAGAAGCACCGGCUAACUCCGUGCCAGCAGCCGCGGUAAUAC
rnacentral:rRNA from 1 species